GAGGAAUAUUGGUCAAUGGACGAGAGUCUGAACCAGCCAAGUAGCGUGAAGGAUGACUGCCCUAUGGGUUGUAAACUUCUUUUAUACGGGAAUAAAGUGAGGCACGUGUGCCUUUUUGUAUGUACCGUAUGAAUAAGGAUCGGCUAACUCCGUGCCAGCAGCCGCGGUAAUACGGAGGAUCCGAGCGUUAUCCGGAUUUAUUGGGUUUAAAGGGAGCGUAGGCGGACGCUUAAGUCAGUUGUGAAAGUUUGCGGCUCAACCGUAAAAUUGCAGUUGAUACUGGGUGUCUUGAGUACAGUAGAGGCAGGCGGAAUUCGUGGUGUAGCGGUGAAAUGCUUAGAUAUCACGAAGAACUCCGAUUGCGAAGGCAGCCUGCUGGACUGUAACUGACGCUGAUGCUCGAAAGUGUGGGUAUCAAACAGGAUUAGAUACCCUGGUAGUCCACACAGUAAACGAUGAAUACUCGCUGUUGGCGAUAUACGGUCAGCGGCCAAGCGAAAGCAUUAAGUAUUCCACCUGGGGAGUACGCCGGCAACGGUGAAACUCAAAGGAAUUGACGGGGGCCCGCACAAGCGGAGGAACAUGUGGUUUAAUUCGAUGAUACGCGAGGAACCUUACCCGGGCUUAAAUUGCAACUGACUGAACCGGAAACGGUUCUUUCUUCGGACAGUUGUGAAGGUGCUGCAUGGUUGUCGUCAGCUCGUGCCGUGAGGUGUCGGCUUAAGUGCCAUAACGAGCGCAACCCUUAUCGAUAGUUACUAGCAGGUCAUGCUGAGGACUCUAUUGAGACUGCCGUCGUAAGAUGUGAGGAAGGUGGGGAUGACGUCAAAUCAGCACGGCCCUUACGUCCGGGGCUACACACGUGUUACAAUGGGGGGUACAGAAGGCAGCUACACGGCGACGUGGUGCUAAUCCCGAAAGCCUCUCUCAGUUCGGAUUGGAGUCUGCAACCCGACUCCAUGAAGCUGGAUUCGCUAGUAAUCGCGCAUCAGCCACGGCGCGGUGAAUACGUUCCCG
rnacentral:rRNA from 1 species